GUGUGUGUGUGUGUAUGUGUGUAACGUGUAUGUAGUUUAUUGUGAAAAGUAAGAAAGUGAGAAAGCCAUUCGUGAGUUUUUGAACUCGUUUUGUUUUUGUUGAGAAACAUUAGUGAUACCGAGAUAUCGUCCGGAGACAUUGUUCUGAGGGUGGUCAGGAAAUGUCUGGGAGCAGUGUCGCGUGGGUCGUCAUCGGGUUGUCAAUCAUGUCCAAAGAGUGCCAGGGGUCUGUCAGGGGUCAGUAGGUCGUAUAAUCCGUUUGUCAGUCCAUGUCCAAAGAGUGCCAGGGGUCUGUCAGGGGUCAGUAGGUCGUAUAAUCCGGUUGUCAAUCAUGUCCAAAGAGUGCCAGGGGUCUGUCAGGGGUCAGUAGGUCGUAUAAUCCGUUUGUCAGUCCAUGUCCAAAGAGUGCCAGGGGUCUGUCAGGGGUCAUUAUCGCGUGGGUCGUCAUCGAGUUGUCAGUCCAUGUCCUUAGAGUGCCAGGGGUCUGUCAGGGGUCAGUAGGUCGUAUAAUCCGGUUGUCAAUCAUGUCCAAAGAGUGCCAGGGGUCUGUCAGGGGUCAGUAGGUCGUAUAAUCGUGUUGUCAAUCAUGUCCAAAGAGUGCCAGGGGUCUGUCAGGGGUCAUUAUCGCGUGGGUCGUCAUCGAGUUGUCAAUCAUGUCCAAAGAGUGCCAGGGGUCUGUCAGGGGUCAGUAGGUCGUAUAAUCGGGUUGUCAGUCCAUGUCCAAAGAGUGCCAGGGGUCUGUCAGGGGUCAGUAGGUCGUAUAAUCGUGUUGUCAGUCCAUGUCCAAAGAGUGCCAGGGGUCUGUCAGGGGUCAGUAGGUCGUAUAAUCGUGUUGUCAGUCCAUGUCCAAAGAGUGCCAGGGGUCUGUCAGGGUCGUUAUCGCGUGGGUCGUCAGGAGUUGUCAGUCCGUGUGUUUUUUUAAGUCUGGCUGAGCCGCUGUCUCCCCAGAGGAGUCUCAGCCAUAACUUGGGCGUUGUCUGUUGGUCUGGAUGAGCCACAGUCUCCCCAGAUGAGACUCACUCUUACCAACACACAGCGCCGUGUUUUUGUAGUUUUAUGAUUUUUUUGUUGUUUUUGUGUUUUUAUAGUUGUUGACGCUCUGCCUUGAGGGGGGCAUUUCUUCUUCCCCGCGCGGCAGUUCCUCUUGGAGGCGUCAUUAGUUACCCGGUGAUUGUAACGGUGACCUGAACUGAUGGUCACGGGUCGUCUGGCUACUUCUUACGAAGGUCAGGACGUCUUGCCGGAACUUCAACACCCCCCCGCCGGACCUUCGGGAUCCCCGGCACCUCCGUGGACGCCCCGGGGGAGCCAAGGCGCCCUACCGGGGCCCCUCCAGUCCUGCGACGCUCACCAGCAAGACCAAGGGCUCGCUGGCGCUCCCCAGCCUCGACGAGGCGAGGAGGGCGGGUGCAAGAACGCGCUUCUCAAAAGUUCCAGACAGGAUUAUUAAAUCAAUCACAAACACUGUGAGGGCGCCGCGCACCGCGUUUGUCGGUUCUCGGAUGGAAAGUCGGAGGGCCUCGGGAGCGGGACAGAACAUCAACAAAACAGAAAGAAAUACUCGCGACGGCUUUUGGCGCGGCAUCC